rnacentral:lncRNA from 15 species
GAAAAGAGAGAAGAAAUGCUUGUGUGUGUGUGUGUAUGUGGAUGUGUGUGUGUGUUAACUCCAGAACCUUGAAACCACACUUUCAGCCAACGUUUGACAUGGUCAGGGUGGAAGUGGCUUCAUUCCCAAAGCUAUCAAAGAAACAGCAGAAGACAAACACAACAAUGAUGAUGAAGUGGAUAAACAACAUUCCCCCCGGAAACCCAAUACAACUUGUUCCUGUUAAUUGCAAACUGCCGGGGACACACAAGGCGGAAGUGCUGCGAAACACCCCGAAGGGCUGUCUGCUGCCUGUGUUCCAAUUGGUCUGAAGAGACAGAGCUCCACGACCGGCUUGUGAUUUGCAGUGAUAGUGCAGUGUAAUCGCUCGAUGUGAAUGUUUUGCAGUGUUGUUUGUUUGUUGUAUUCGCCACGAGUGACUCUGGCAAGACAACACACCGCAGGCCAAUGAAAUCCAUAGGUAGAAUGGUAAGAGUAAUUUAGGGACUGAAUAUUCAGAGAAACAAAAAAGCUAAUGGAGACAGAUUAGGCCUCUUCUGGAAAUGUUUUUGUGCUUAACAGACAAAAUGUUAUCUGUAAAACAAAUUGCAUUAGUUUGAUCCAUUUAUACAUUUAUCAUUUAUCAGAGAAACUUUGUUGAUUUUUUUUUACAUGGAUCGUCCCUUUCGAUUGGCUGCCUGCUUUUGAUAUUGCAUUAAAC